rnacentral:tRNA from 1 species
GCCUGGCUGGCUCAGUUGGUGGAGCUUAAGACUCUUGGUCUUGGGGUUGUGAGUUCAAGCCCCACAUUGGGUA